rnacentral:rRNA from 1 species
UUAAGCGACUAAGCGUACACGGUGGAUGCCCUGGCAGUCAGAGGCGAUGAAGGACGUGCUAAUCUGCGAUAAGCGUCGGUAAGGUGAUAUGAACCGUUAUAACCGGCGAUUUCCGAAUGGGGAAACCCAGUGUGAUUCGUCACACUAUCAUUAACUGAAUCCAUAGGUUAAUGAGGCGAACCGGGGGAACUGAAACAUCUAAGUACCCCGAGGAAAAGAAAUCAACCGAGAUUCCCCCAGUAGCGGCGAGCGAACGGGGAGCAGCCCAGAGCCUGAAUCAGUGUGUGUGUUAGUGGAAGCGUCUGGAAAGGCGCGCGAUACAGGGUGACAGCCCCGUACACAAAAAUGCACAUAUUGUGAGCUCGAUGAGUAGGGCGGGACACGUGGUAUCCUGUCUGAAUAUGGGGGACCAUCCUCCAAGGCUAAAUACUCCUGACUGACCGAUAGUGAACCAGUACCGUGAGGAAAGGCGAAAAGAACCCGGCGAGGGAGUGAAAAAGAACCUGAAACCGUGUACGUACAAGCAGUGGGAGCACGCUUAGGCGUGUGACUGCGUACCUUUUGUAUAAUGGGUCAGCGACUUAUAUUCUGUAGCAAGGUUAACCGAAUAGGGGAGCCGAAGGGAAACCGAGUCUUAACUGGGCGUUAAGUUGCAGGGUAUAGACCCGAAACCCGGUGAUCUAGCCAUGGGCAGGUUGAAGGUUGGGUAACACUAACUGGAGGACCGAACCGACUAAUGUUGAAAAAUUAGCGGAUGACUUGUGGCUGGGGGUGAAAGGCCAAUCAAACCGGGAGAUAGCUGGUUCUCCCCGAAAGCUAUUUAGGUAGCGCCUCGUGAAUUCAUCUCCGGGGGUAGAGCACUGUUUCGGCAAGGGGGUCAUCCCGACUUACCAACCCGAUGCAAACUGCGAAUACCGGAGAAUGUUAUCACGGGAGACACACGGCGGGUGCUAACGUCCGUCGUGAAGAGGGAAACAACCCAGACCGCCAGCUAAGGUCCCAAAGUCAUGGUUAAGUGGGAAACGAUGUGGGAAGGCCCAGACAGCCAGGAUGUUGGCUUAGAAGCAGCCAUCAUUUAAAGAAAGCGUAAUAGCUCACUGGUCGAGUCGGCCUGCGCGGAAGAUGUAACGGGGCUAAACCAUGCACCGAAGCUGCGGCAGCGACGCUUAUGCGUUGUUGGGUAGGGGAGCGUUCUGUAAGCCUGUGAAGGUGUGCUGUGAGGCAUGCUGGAGGUAUCAGAAGUGCGAAUGCUGACAUAAGUAACGAUAAAGCGGGUGAAAAGCCCGCUCGCCGGAAGACCAAGGGUUCCUGUCCAACGUUAAUCGGGGCAGGGUGAGUCGACCCCUAAGGCGAGGCCGAAAGGCGUAGUCGAUGGGAAACAGGUUAAUAUUCCUGUACUUGGUGUUACUGCGAAGGGGGGACGGAGAAGGCUAUGUUGGCCGGGCGACGGUUGUCCCGGUUUAAGCGUGUAGGCUGGUUUUCCAGGCAAAUCCGGAAAAUCAAGGCUGAGGCGUGAUGACGAGGCACUACGGUGCUGAAGCAACAAAUGCCCUGCUUCCAGGAAAAGCCUCUAAGCAUCAGGUAACAUCAAAUCGUACCCCAAACCGACACAGGUGGUCAGGUAGAGAAUACCAAGGCGCUUGAGAGAACUCGGGUGAAGGAACUAGGCAAAAUGGUGCCGUAACUUCGGGAGAAGGCACGCUGAUAUGUAGGUGAAGCGACUUGCUCGUGGAGCUGAAAUCAGUCGAAGAUACCAGCUGGCUGCAACUGUUUAUUAAAAACACAGCACUGUGCAAACACGAAAGUGGACGUAUACGGUGUGACGCCUGCCCGGUGCCGGAAGGUUAAUUGAUGGGGUCAGCGCAAGCGAAGCUCUUGAUCGAAGCCCCGGUAAACGGCGGCCGUAACUAUAACGGUCCUAAGGUAGCGAAAUUCCUUGUCGGGUAAGUUCCGACCUGCACGAAUGGCGUAAUGAUGGCCAGGCUGUCUCCACCCGAGACUCAGUGAAAUUGAACUCGCUGUGAAGAUGCAGUGUACCCGCGGCAAGACGGAAAGACCCCGUGAACCUUUACUAUAGCUUGACACUGAACAUUGAGCCUUGAUGUGUAGGAUAGGUGGGAGGCUUUGAAGUGUGGACGCCAGUCUGCAUGGAGCCGACCUUGAAAUACCACCCUUUAAUGUUUGAUGUUCUAACGUUGACCCGUAAUCCGGGUUGCGGACAGUGUCUGGUGGGUAGUUUGACUGGGGCGGUCUCCUCCUAAAGAGUAACGGAGGAGCACGAAGGUUGGCUAAUCCUGGUCGGACAUCAGGAGGUUAGUGCAAUGGCAUAAGCCAGCUUGACUGCGAGCGUGACGGCGCGAGCAGGUGCGAAAGCAGGUCAUAGUGAUCCGGUGGUUCUGAAUGGAAGGGCCAUCGCUCAACGGAUAAAAGGUACUCCGGGGAUAACAGGCUGAUACCGCCCAAGAGUUCAUAUCGACGGCGGUGUUUGGCACCUCGAUGUCGGCUCAUCACAUCCUGGGGCUGAAGUAGGUCCCAAGGGUAUGGCUGUUCGCCAUUUAAAGUGGUACGCGAGCUGGGUUUAGAACGUCGUGAGACAGUUCGGUCCCUAUCUGCCGUGGGCGCUGGAGAACUGAGGGGGGCUGCUCCUAGUACGAGAGGACCGGAGUGGACGCAUCACUGGUGUUCGGGUUGUCAUGCCAAUGGCACUGCCCGGUAGCUAAAUGCGGAAGAGAUAAGUGCUGAAAGCAUCUAAGCACGAAACUUGCCCCGAGAUGAGUUCUCCCUGACUCCUUGAGAGUCCUGAAGGAACGUUGAAGACGACGACGUUGAUAGGCCGGGUGUGUAAGCGCAGCGAUGCGUUGAGCUAACCGGUACUAAUGAACCGUGAGGCUUAACCUU